rnacentral:rRNA from 1 species
AACGAACGCUGGCGGCGUGCCUAACACAUGCAAGUCGUGCGAGAAAGUUCCUUCGGGAGCGAGUAAAGCGGCGCACGGGUGAGUAACACGUAGGUAACCUGCCCCCCAGUCUGGAACAACUAGAGGAAACUCUAGCUAAUGCCGGAUGAGACCACGAUCCCUUCGGGGGUUGCGGCCAAAGAUGGCCUCUACUUGUAAGCUAUCGCUGAGGGAUGGGCCUGCGGGCCAUUAGCUUGUUGGUGAGGUAACGGCUCACCAAGGCUGUGAUGGCUAGCUGGUCUGAGAGGAUGACCAGCCACACUGGGACUGAGACACGGCCCAGACUCCUACGGGAGGCAGCAGUGGGAAUAUUGCGCAAUGGGCGAAAGCCUGACGCAGCGACGCCGCGUGGGUGAUGAAGGCCUCGGUCGUAAGACCGUCGUCGCGACGGGAGGAAAGUAAAGACGAUACGGUAGUAA